CUCUCACUAACACAGUCCAGGAUCUCUAUAAUAACCAGGUCAGAUCUCUCACUAACACAGUCCAGGAUCUCUAUAAUAACCAGGUCAGAUCUCUCACUAACACAGUCCAGGAUCUCUAUAAUAACCAGGUCAGAUCUCUCACUAACACAGUCCAGGAUCUCUAUAAUAACCAGGUCAGAUCUCUCACUAACACAGUCCAGGAUCUCUAUAAUAACCAGGUCAGAUCUCUCACUAACACAGUCCAGGAUCUCUAUAAUAACCAGGUCAGAUCUCUCACUAACACAGUCCAGGAUCUCUAUAAUAACCAGGUCAGAUCUCUCACUAACACAGUCCAGGAUCUCUAUAAUAACCAGGUCAGAU